UUACGGCCAUAUUACGGUGAAACAGUGGUUCUCGUACGAUCACCGAAGUUAAGCAACGUCGAGCCUGCUCAGUACCUAAAUGGGUGAUCGGUUGGGAAUACCAGGUGCUGUAAG